rnacentral:rRNA from 1 species
CCUACGGGAGGCAGCAGUGGGGAAUAUUGCACAAUGGGGGAAACCCUGAUGCAGCGACGCCGCGUGAGUGAAGAAGUAUCUCGGUACGUAAAGCUCUAUCAGCAGGGAAGAAAAUGACGGUACCUGACUAAGAAGCCCCGGCUAACUACGUGCCAGCAGCCGCGGUAAUACGUAGGGGGCCAGCGUUAUCCGGAUUUACUGGGUGUAAAGGGAGCGUAGACGGCAGCACAAGUCUGGAGUGAAAUCCCGGGGCUUAACCCCGGAACUGCUUUUGAAACUGGGAGGCUGGAGUGCAGGAGGGGUAUGCGGAAUGCGUAGUGUAGCGGUGAAAUGCGUAGAUAUUAGGAGGAACACCGGUGGCGAAGGCGGCUUACUGGACUGUAUCUGACGUUGAGGCUCGAAAGCGUGGGUAGCGAACAGGAUUAGAUACCCGAGUAGUC